UCCCCCCCCCCUCAAUUCCCCAGUAUGUCUGCUGUCAAGUCAGUCUAGCUCGCUGAACGUUUUUUUUUUUUUUACAUUUUUUUUUUUUCCUCCAACGGUUCGUGUUCCAUCUCCGAAACGGCCAGAAAAUGUAAAGUGGCUGCCUUGUUGGAAGUCCUGUAGCCCCGCCAUGCUGCCCUCCUCUCAGCUAGCAGCCUACCUUGUGUUUCGUCGCGUUGGUCUUUCUUUCUCUCAGCAGCAGCGGCUGCAGCAGCGGCAGCAGCAGGAGCAGCUCCCUCCUCCUCCCUCCCGUCUCUCCCCGCCUCCUCAAACACAUCGCACAGUGCGGACAGACGACCACAGCACCGCCGCUGACAGCAACACAGUGUUUACGUGUCUGCUGCUGAAGGAGCAGCCCAGCAUGUGAUUGUUAGUAGACGGGACAAAAAUGCCAUGUUGGAGUGGAAAAAACCAGAAGAAAUGUGUGCUGACUACCUGCAUGCUUGGUCAAACACUGGGAGGUGCAGAUCCUCACCAGAUGCCAAAAAGCUCCAUCUGCCAUAAUGAGCCACCUGAUGUUGGACUCAACUGCUUUUAGUCCAUCUCAUUCUCUGGCGGACAGGAUCUCUGGCCUGAGAUUGAAGGUGAUUCAAUUGAGGCUAAAUCUUCAAACUGACUUUUUAAAACACCAGUUAUGUUGCCUCUGUACUCACUCAUCUCCGCAACGACUUCUGGGUCACACUCCCU